rnacentral:rRNA from 1 species
UACGGAAGGCAGCAGUGGGGAAUAUUGCACAAUGGGCGAAAGCCUGAUGCAGCUAUGCCGCGUGUAUGAAGAAGGCCUUAGGGUCGUAAAGUACUUUCAUCGGGGAGGAAAAACAAAACUAAUAAUUUUAUUUCUUGACGUUACCCGAAAAAGAAGCACCGGCUAACUCCGUGCCAGCAGCCGCGGUAAUACGGAGGGUGCUAGCGUUAAUCAGAAUUACUGGGCGUAAAGAGCACGUAGGUGGUUUUUUUAAAGUCAGAUGUGAAAUCCCUGGGCUUAACCUGGAACUGCAUUUUGAAACUGAAAUACUAGAGUAUCGUAGAGGGAGGUAGAAUUCUAGGUGUAGCGGUGAAAUGCGUAGAUAUCUGGAGGAAUACCUGUGGCGAAAGCGGCCUCCUAAACGAAUACUGACACUGAGGUGCGAAAGCGUGGGGAGCAAACAGGGAUUAGAUACC